AAGGUGACACUGAGGGGACACAAAGGGGACCCCAAGGUGACACCAAAGGGAACCCCAAGGUGACACUGAGGGGAGACCAAAGGGGACCCCAAGGUGACACUGAGGGGACACAAAGGGGACCCCAAGGUGACACCAAAAGGGACACCAAGGUGACACCAAAGGGGACCCCAAGGUGACACCGAGGGGACACCAAAGGGGACCCAAAGGGAACCCCAAGGUGACACCAAAGGGGACCCCAAGGUGACACCAAAGGGGACACCAAGGUGACACCGAGGGUGACUCCAAAGGGGACCCCAAGGUGACACCAAAGGGGACACCAAGGUGACACCGAGGCGACACCAAAGGGAACACCAGGGUGACACCAAGGGGACACCAAAGGGGACCCAAAGGUGACACCAAAGGGGACCCCAAGGUGACACCAAGGGGACACCAAAGGUGACACCAAAGGGGACCCCAAGGGGACACCAAAGGGGACCCCAAGGUGACACUGAGGGGACACCAAAGGGAACCCCAAGGUGACACUGAGGGGACACCAAAGGGGACCCCAAGGUGACACCAAAGGGAACCCCAAGGUGACACCAAAGGGGACCCCAAGGUGACACCGAGGGGACACCAAAGGGGACCCCAAGGUGACACCAAAGGGGACCCCAAGGUGACACCAAAGGGGACCCCAAGGUGACACCGAGGGGACACCAAAGGGGACCCCAAGAUUGACACUGAAGGUGAUCUGGAAGGUGACACCAAAGGUGAGACCCCAAAAUGACACCGGAGGUGACCCCAAAGGUGACCCCAAGGAUGCCAUCAGUGGUGACACCAAAGGUGACACUGAAGGUGACGCUGAGGGCAGCCUGAGGGUGACACUGAAGGUGACCCCAAAGGUGACCCCAAGGGUGACCCCAGUGGUGACCCCAAAAGUGGCCCUGGAGGUGAACUCAAAGGUGACCCCGAGGGCCACCCAAAGGUGACCGCAAUGGUGACCUCAAAGGCAGGGUCCCCACAAAGGCGACCCUGAAGGUGACAUUGAAGGUGUCCCCAAAGGUGACACUGAAGGUGACACCCAGGGUGACCACAAAGGCAACCCUGAAGGUGUCCCCAAAGGUGACACUGAAGGCAACCUUGAAGGCAGGGUCACCACAAAGAUGACCCUGAAGGUGACAUUGAAGGUGUCCCCAAAGGUGACCCCAAAGGUGCCCCCAAGGUGAUCCUGAGGUGACCUCAAAGGUGACCCUGAAGGUGUCCCCAAGGGCAACCACAAGGAUGACCCCAAAGGUGACCUCAAAGGUGACUCCGAGGUGACCCCAAAAGCACCCCCAGAG